rnacentral:rRNA from 1 species
CCAACAGGGAUUGCCCUAGUAACGGCGAGUGAAGCGGCAACAGCUCAAAUUUGAAAGCUAGCCUUCGGGUUCGCAUUGUAAUUUGUAGAGGAUGAUUUGGGGAAGCCGCCUGUCUAAGUUCCUUGGAACAGGACGUCAUAGAGGGUGAGAAUCCCGUAUGUGACAGGAAAUGGCACCCUAUGUAAAUCUCCUUCGACGAGUCGAGUUGUUUGGGAAUGCAGCUCUAAAUGGGAGGUAAAUUUCUUCUAAAGCUAAAUAUUGGCGAGAGACCGAUAGCGCACAAGUAGAGUGAUCGAAAGAUGAAAAGCACUUUGGAAAGAGAGUUAAAAAGCACGUGAAAUUGUUGAAAGGGAAGCGCUUGCAAUCAGACUUGUUUAAACUGUUCGGCCGGUCUUCUGACCGGUUUACUCAGUUUGGACAGGCCAGCAUCAGUUUCGGCGGCCGGAUAAAGGCUCUGGGAAUGUGGCCUCCACUUCGGUGGAGGUGUUAUAGCCCAGGGUGUAAUACGGCCAGCCGGGACUGAGGUCCGCGCUUCGGCUAGGAUGCUGGCGUAA